GACGAACGCUGGCGGCGUGCUUAACACAUGCAAGUCGAGCGGUAAGGCCCUUUCGGGGGUUACGACGAGCGGCGAACGGGUGAGUAACACGUGGGUGACCUGCCUCUAGCUCUGGGAUAAGCCUGGGAAGCUGGGUCUAAUACCGGAUAUGACCUCGCGGUGCAUGUUGCGGGGUGGAAAGCCUUGUGCGGCUAGGGAUGGGCCCGCGGCCUAUCAGCUUGUUGGUGGGGUGANGGCCUACCAAGGCGACGACGGGUAGCCGGCCUGAGAGGGCGACCGGCCACACUGGGACUGAGACACGGCCCAGACUCCUACGGGAGGCAGCAGUGGGGAAGUCUUGCGCAAUGGGCGAAAGCCUGACGCAGCGACGCCGCGCGAGGGA
rnacentral:rRNA from 1 species